GCUGGCCUGGGGACCCGGCGCGGCCGGAGCGCCGAGCGCCAUCACAGGCAAGUGGCAGCGCCCGGCGCGGCUCCUGCGGCCCCCAGCUCCCCGCCUGGGGCCUCUCUGUAGCCUCGGAGGGCGGUGUGGGGCUGUCGGGGCUCCGGGCGAAGCAGUGGUCCCGGCUUUUAAUAUCAGCAGACCUAAAACUYUUUAAUAACUUGUGUUUUAUUCGCCAGCGCAAACCCUUGCUCCUUGCUACUCUGCUGACCUACAGCCAGCGUCAGGCAGACUCAUCUCGGCGGUCAGCUGCACCGUGCUUCUGGCAGUCCCGCCGCUGAACGCCAGCGCCGUUGUGUUCUGGGAGUAUAAAAACGGCCCUCACGAAGAAAUCAUCCUCAAGUAUUAUCUCAAUAAGCCUGUAAAUACUGCUGCUUCCUACAAGAACCGUACAAAGUUCAACGAAACGGAUUUCUCCCUGCAAAUGGUGCUGCAGCGGGGGGACAGCGGAACCUACCGCUUCAGAACGGAGUCACAGGAAACGGACUGGUUCCAACUGGAAGUUAUUGAACCACUGCCUGCRCCAGAAAUCGUGGGCAACUCCUCUGUGAAAGCAGGAGGCAGCAUUAAACUGGUCUGCAACAUCCCGGAGGGGAAGGCAGACUCCUACUGGUGGAAGAAGAAUGGGGAGCUGCUGCUUGGGAGUGACCAUUUCCAGUUUGUUCGAAACAACACGUUGCACAUCAUUGAAGCGACAAUGAACGACAGCGGCUACUAUGCUUGUGUGGUCCGCAACAAAGUGAGCCAGAAUGAAACCUCCUUCCUGCUUCGUGUUCAGAACGCUGCAAAUAUGGUCUUACCUGUGAUGAUGGCAUGCGUUAUCGUUGGCUCUCUAAUAGGUGUUCUCGUCUGGUGUAGGAGGAGGGGCCGCUUUCGUCACUGUGUCCGUAGGUAAGAUACCUUGAGCCCCUUUUGCUGUGCCCGGGACUUGGGGAUGGCCCUGCUCCUCCAUUGCUAGCUACAAGGCAAAACCAGUCUUGGCUGUAACUGAAUAAUCUUGACAAGCCGAAGGUGACGGUAUCCUUGGCUAACCUGUGUCCCUAGCCUCAGAUCCACAAAACCCUGCGAGGAAACAGCCAGUUGGAUACAGUUAGAUGCAGAUGCUGCUGAGGGGACAGGCCCUUGCACAGACAAGGGAGACAGUCGAGGAGGGCCCAUUCUCUGACUUUUCAUGUAGCGUGAAACCUCUUAGCCCUUUCAUUUCGCUAAAGAUGCCCCUUGUGCAGAGAUCUCUGUACUGACAGACCUUACAGCUGGGCAGAACAGGGUUGCUCUCCCCACUUCAUAAGCGGGGUGCUGGGGCACCAACGGGCAAGGUGAUGGGCUCUGGCCCUGCAGAAGGCUGGUGGCAGCACUGGCAGAGAGCRCCCAUGUCUCGUGAGUCUCCAGCAGCCCUUGCAACCAAGGUGAGCUCCAGGCUGACUGCAGGCACUGUGUGGGGCCACCCAGGUUUCCAGGUUCAGCUGUAAUUCAGGGGCCACCGUAUUCAGGGGCUCAAAGGGUUUGCUGUUCCUAAACACUUCCACUGUUCAGUCCCUUCUUGGACUUGAUCUGGGAACGUUCUGACAAAAUGCCCUAGGAAAGGGUGAGAUAGCAGGUCUGAUUUUCCGCUGCCUGAGGCCUAAUACUGCUGUUCAGCUCUGGCAAAGCUGGCACUGGGCACCCCCAGAGCAGUGGUGUUGUGCAGACUCUCCAGGCACCGUGGAAAGUGACUGCAGAGUACAAGGCAGCAGGAAACCUCAGGGUUCCUCUAGUCCCAUCAWGCCCUUGUCCCAUCAUCUGUUCUUCGUCUUCUGGCUGUUACUGUCACACUGGCUUUUUUAUUCCCAUUAUGCCCUUAGCUCCUAUCUCAAUUUAUUCCAUUGCCAUAGCAGCGAAGAAAUUGUGCUGUGCUCUUUAGGAGAGCAGAAUCUUGGCCRGAGAGGAAAUGUUCACUUUCUCCAAGAUACACCUGUGGCUGAGAUAGAGCCAAACUCUGGCUUCAGUAAGGCUUUCCAGACUGGUUUAUAGCUGCAGCAGCCUCCAGGGUGGGAUAGAUGCAGGUGGUGCGUGGAUGCACUCUGAAACAUCCUCUUAAAUAUUUUUGUAAUUCUCCGAAGUGCAUCAGAAGUUUCCAGAAACUGGGUGCUCUUGAAAUCUUCUAGGAACUAGCUCGUUUUUCAGGCACAUAUGACCUGUUCAAAACUCAAAAUGURUUAACUGAAGUGUCCUGGAGGGUGAGGAAAGGGAUAUGAUCUUGGGAAACCUCAUUCCAUAUUGAGAUCAGUCAGAAAYAGCAAAGUUCUCGGUUGUCUUGUACAGCCGAAUCCUAUAUAACUCAUCCCUGAGAUAAGUUCGCCUAGACUGUUCCUAAAAUCCCUGCUSCUUGGAAUCACACUUUCCCUGGAUAUGCUGAGGAAGGUUCCUCUGGCCGUGUUCCAGGAAUCGGUGCUCUUGAAGUUUACAUGCAGUUCACAUCUUUUCCCCCCCACAACUUGCACAGUGCUUCCCAGGGCUCAGUGCAGACCUCCAUGCAGKCUUGGCCAGGUUUCCCCCAUGGAAUCCAGGCACAUUGGUCCAGGGAGAGCUGUAAGUGGAGCUACUGUUCACGAGCUGCAGCUUCUGGCCUUGGCCGUUUAGUCCUUUUCUCUGAGGCUGAGCAGGAGGCUGAGUAGAGCAGAAGUCCAGGUCGUAAGUGGAAGUACCAGUGUGGCAGCACUCUGCUACCACAAGAGAGCCUAUAAUAUCCUGCCAGAGCAGARCAGCAUCUUCCUGAGGCCUCAGAGAGGGUCCACCAGUCAGCAUGUUGCCUGUGAGUGGUGGGUGGUAUCCACGUACAAGAGGACAGAAGUGGAACCUGACUUAGUACUCUAUGCAAACCUCUCCUCUCUCAUUGCAGGUGGAGGGCCUGAGUGACUGCACCUUGCUCCCUUCCUCUCACGUAGGUGAUGGAUGCUAACCAGGGAGCACUGGCCACCUGCCAUCAUGCACAGCAGUCUGAUGCUGUCCCAGUCUCUUCCAGGCUCGCUUAUUAAUUGUUCAAGCUGCUAAAACCCACAGAUCCUUGCAGGACUUGUUUUACGAACAACACUGGCUUGGACUCCAUCUUCAUUGUCCUGUCCUUCCCAAGGCUCCUUGCACAUCUUUGGGGGAGAGGUAGGCAUGGCCUUCUCUGGAACACUGUCUGCUGCUUUUCUCCAGGCCUCGUUACCUUUCCUGGCUUUCUCCAAAGGCUGUGGGGGCACUUGGAGAGGGGCUGAUGGUUGUGGAUAGAGCUACCUGGCUGGGCAAACACAUGGCUCUGGAGGUUGCUGGAGAGUGACCGCAGGUGUUCUGCUACUCCUUGAUGGGAGACUCAAUGAGACUUGAAAUCCCUCACUGUGGCCUCAAUACCUCCUGGUGUGCUGCUGUUUUGGGGCACUUGGGGACUUGCUGGUGUGUCUUGGGGCUGAGAUCGUGGGGCUUCUUUUGUGUUUGGCCCUUGGAGGGAGGAGAAAAGGCAGGUUUUUGCUGUCACAUGCAUUAGGGAGUUCCAGGAGAUGAGUGGAGCCAGUUGAAGUCCACAAAGGAUGGAGGAGUGGCAUGUUAAUGGAUAUGACCUACAAUGUAGUUUUGUUUUGAAAAACAAACCCCGAAGAAAUUCUGACAACCAGCUGCUUUAGAGCAGCAGUGCAGCCUGACAUGUGCAUGCGAGACACAGGUAUGCUCCUAAGCCUGUCUCCCCUGUUCCCCCAGCCUUGGACUCAGGAAGGAUCUGAGGAUGUGCCCUCAUCUUCUGAGGGUUAGCACGUGGGUUGUACUUGUGACAGUGCAGACUUGUUCCUCCCUUUUGCCACUCCUGCGGGAGAUGAUGGUCGUGAUCUGAUUUGAUAUGGCCAGGGGCAACCCUUCUUUCCAGUCCCAAACUCCUGUCCAUGUCCCUUCCCCAUGCGCCUUCUGUGGAGCUCUUCUGGGCUCUGCUUAUAAAAAUGAUUGUUAUAACUGAAAUUACUUAGUUGGGGGCAUGGCCUUUCUCUCUCAGCACUGACAUCUUCACCCUGGAGAAAACUGGAUGCUUUCCUGGGAGCACUAGGUCUUGCUAAGUGCCUUUCUGAGUGUCAAGCUGGGCAGUUUGCACCCAUCUCUCAUUCUGACAGGGAGCCCCAGCAAGGCCAGCACCCUCUCUGAGCUGCUCCCCAGGCCCUUGGUGGAGUCAGCCAUUCUGAGUACUCUAGUCUAGCUACCGGACGAUCACUUCUCUCCUAGAGUGGGGCAGCUGAUGGCUUGAGGACCUCUUUCCUGUUGGCCUGCAGGCAGAAGGGGAACAGGUUUCUCCAAGUGGCUUCCAGGCUCUGCCCUGGGGUUGCUGGACCAGCCUGAUGCUCCUGUGUGCAGUUUCUCUAGCUCCUUCAGAGAUACAGUUCAGCUCUACAUAGCCAGAGGAAGAGAAAUCCCCAGCAGAGAAAUACCUCAGUAUGGUUCCUAGCAGAGAAAGAGUUGUCCUGGCCUCGUCGCAUUUACUUGCUGCAAGAGAGGAGACAGGAGAGUUGAGCUGUGCUUUCUUUGGUGUUUUGUUCAUGUAGGUGGUUUUUGUCUCCUGGUUGUUGUGAUUGGAUUUUGAAAGCAAUUUCUGAAUAUUUAGCAUUGUCCAAAGAAAACACUAAAGCAGUCAGCAAAUGGAGAGAGAUGAGGGUUGAUUUUACUGUAGUUUGUGUUUUGCCUGUAGACCAUAACUCACUUCUACAGAAAAGGGCAUUCCCAGCGACCUGGGAGCUCCGAGUUUCACACUCUGUUCCGAAUUCUGYCUUCUCUUUGGAGAAGAGUUGACCUGUUGGCUAUUUCUAGGAAAAUCCUUUGAAAUGUAAGUUAAAGCUGACAUGCACAAAAGCAAAAUUUCUGUGAAGCUGGUUUGAAAAAAAAAAAAGUUGGAAAUUAUUUGGUUGGUUGUUUGUUGCUGAAGAGUUCUGGUCACAUUUGUGCUUUUUACUCUGCGGGAGAAUAAACUAACUCAUGACUUGACUUUUUURGGCUCU
ensembl:lncRNA HEPACAM family member 2-like